rnacentral:rRNA from 1 species
CAGUCGCCGCGGUAAUACGGAGGGAGCUAGCGUUGUUCGGAAUUACUGGGCGUAAAGCGCACAUAGGCGGCUUUGUAAGUUAGAGGUGAAAGCCUGGAGCUCAACUCCAGAACUGCCUUUAAGACUGCAUCGCUUGAAUCCAGGAGAGGUGAGUGGAAUUCCGAGUGUAGAGGUGAAAUUCGUAGAUAUUCGGAAGAACACCAGUGGCGAAGGCGGCUCACUGGACUGGUAUUGACGCUGAGGUGCGAAAGCGUGGGGAGCAAACAGGAUUAGAGACCCCCGUAGUCCCUGUCUCUUAUAA